rnacentral:rRNA from 1 species
CCCUAAACGAUGUCUACUAGUUGUCGGGUUUUAAUUAACUUGGUAACGCAGCUAACGCGUGAAGUAGACCGCCUGGGGAGUACGGUCGCAAGAUUAAAACUCAAAGGAAUUGACGGGGACCCGCACAAGCGGUGGAUGAUGUGGAUUAAUUCGAUGCAACGCGAAAAACCUUACCUACCCUUGACAUGUACGGAAGCCACGAGAGAUCGAGGUGUGCUCGAAAGAGAACCGUAACACAGGUGCUGCAUGGCUGUCGCCAGCUCGUGUCGUGAGAUGUUGGGUUAAGUCCCGCAACGAGCGCAACCCUUGUCAUUAGUUGCUACAUUCAGUUGAGCACUCUAAUGAGACUGCCGGUGACAAACCGGAGGAAGGUGGGGAUGACGUCAAGUCCUCAUGGCCCUUAUGGGUAGGGCUUCACACGUCAUACAAUGGUACAUACAGAGGGCCGCCAACCCGCGAGGGGGAGCUAAUCCCAGAAAGUGUAUCGUAGUCCGGAUCGCAGUCUGCAACUCGACUGCGUGAAGUUGGAAUCGCUAGUAAUCGCGGAUCAGCAUGUCGCGGUGAAUACGUUCCCGGGUCUUGUACACACCGCCCGUCACACCAUGGGAGCGGGUUUUACCAGAAGUAGGUAGCUUAACCGCAAGGGGGGCGCUUACCACGGUAGGAUUCGUGACUGGGGUGAAGUCGUAACAAGGUAAGCCCGUAUCGGAAGGUCC